rnacentral:rRNA from 1 species
UGAAUACGAGAUGCUACGGCAUCGAAGCAGUCUAUGUCAUACUUCCAAGAAAAGCUUGCACUGUCAUAAACAAAUAAUGCCUGUACCAUAACCGACACAGGUGGGUAGGUAGAGUAUACUAAGGGGCGCGAGAUAACUCUCUCUAAGGAACUCGGCAAAAUGACUCCGUAACUUCGGGAGAAGGAGUGCCUUAUUUUAUAAGGUUGCAAUAACAAGAUCCAAGCAACUGUUUACCAAAAACACAGGUCUCCGCUAAGUCGUAAGACGAUGUAUGGGGGCUGACGCCUGCCCAGUGCCAGAAGGUUAAAGAAGUUGGUUAGCAUUAGCGAAGCUGAUAACUGAAGCCCUGGUGAACGGCGGCCGUAACUAUAACGGUCCUAAGGUAGCGAAAUUCCUCGUCGGGUAAGUUCCGACCCGCACGAAAGGCGUAAUGAUUUGGAUACUGUCUCGGAGAGGGGCUCGGUGAAAUAGACUUGUCUGUGAAGAUGCGGACUACCUGCACCAGGACAGAAAGACCCUAUGAAGCUUUACUGUAACUUGAGAUUGAAAUUGGACUUUAUUUGCGCAGUAUAGGUGGGAGACGUUGAAAAUAUUCUUGCGGGAAUAUUGGAGUCAUCAGUGAGAUACCACUCUUAUAAUGUUAGAUUUCUAACUUUGUAUCAUUAUCUGGUCAAAGAACAGUCUCAGGCGGGCAGUUUGACUGGGGCGGUCGCCUCCCAAACGGUAACGGAGGCGCACAAAGGUUUCCUCUGAACGUGUAGAAAUCGUAUCUAGAGUGUAAAGGCAUAAGGAAGCUUGACUGUGAGACCUACAAGUCGAGCAGGGACGAAAGUCGGUCUUAGUGAUCUGACGGUGCUGAGUGGAAAGGCCGUCACUCAACGGAUAAAAGUUACUCUAAGGAUAACAGGCUGAUCUCCCCCAAGAGUUCACAUCGACGAGGAGGUUUGGCACCUCGAUGUCGGCUCAUCGCAUCCUGGGGCGGUAGUACGUCCCAAGGGUUGGGCUGUUCGCCCAUGAAAGCGGUACGCGAGCUGGGUUCAGAACGUCGUGAGACAGUUCGGUCCAUAUCCGGUGUAGGCGUUAGAAUAUUGAGAGGAGCCUUCUUUAGUACGAGAGGACCGAGAAGGACAUACCUCUGGUGUACCAGUUAUCGUGCCAACGGUAAACGCUGGGUAGCUAUGUAUGGAGAGGAUAACCGCUGAAAGCAUCUAAGUGGGAAGCCCACCUCAAGAUAAGUAUUCUCAU